rnacentral:rRNA from 1 species
UACGAAGGGGGCUAGCGUUGCUCGGAAUCACUGGGCGUAAAGCGCACGUAGGCGGACUCUUAAGUCGGGGGUGAAAUCCUGGAGCUCAACUCCAGAACUGCCUUCGAUACUGGGAGUCUCGAGUCCGGGAGAGGUGAGUGGAACUGCGAGUGUAGAGGUGAAAUUCGUAGAUAUUCGCAAGAACACCAGUGGCGAAGGCGGCUCACUGGCCCGGUACUGACGCUGAGGUGCGAAAGCGUGGGGAGCAAACAGG